GACGAACGCUGGCGGCGUGCCUAAUACAUGCAAGUAGAACGCACAGUUUAUACCGUAGCUUGCUACACCAUAGACUGUGAGUUGCGAACGGGUGAGUAACGCGUAGGUAACCUGCCUGGUAGCGGGGGAUAACUAUUGGAAACGAUAGCUAAUACCGCAUAAUAUUAAUUAUUGCAUGAUAAUUAAUUGAAAGGUGCAAUUGCACCACUACCAGAUGGACCUGCGUUGUAUUAGCUAGUAGGUGAGGUAACGGCUCACCUAGGCGACGAUACAUAGCCGACCUGAGAGGGAGAUCGGCCACACUGGGACUGAGACACGGCCCAGACUCCUACGGGAGGCAGCAGUAGGGAAUCUUCGGCAAUGGACGAAAGUCUGACCGAGCAACGCCGCGUGAGUGAAGAAGGUUUUCGGAUCGUAAAGCUCUGUUGUAAGAGAAGAACGGGUGUGAGAGUGGAAAGUUCACACUGUGACGGUAUCUGACCAGAAAGGGACGGCUAACUACGUG
rnacentral:rRNA from 1 species